GUGUUGAUGGACCAGAGGCCUCAGAGAGGUUACAGCCGAAAGGAGCACCAUUGAGAUGCAGCUUCUGAUGACGCGAACGAUGUUCUGCCAGUCCCAGAAUCGCUGUUCUGGGGCAGAUUCCCCUUCUUUUGUGAAGUACAGAGCUGCAACUCCUCUCUGGACAACCCAUCUUUUCAGCUGACACCAGGUCCUGAGAAUCCCACUGCAAGAUUCCAGGUUCAAAUUCUUUGCUUUAGAGCUGGUCUUUGAGUUCCUGCACACCAUGGUCUCCAUGGACCGAUAAGUCUUCCACCCUCUGAAGAAAAUUAUACGAUGCAGAAAUCAAAUGUAUUUUGCCGGAGGGUGACUUACCAAGCAAAGCACAUUAAAUCACCCCGCUUCCAAGGGAAAGCGAAGCAGC